UACAAUGACUUUUUUAACCAUGUGCAUGGUUAAUUUUUUCAUGGUAAAUGUUUGAGAUUACAAACACAAAUUAACGUUAUAUAAGGUCAAAUGUAGAUGAAAAAUAGUUUAAUUAACGUUGUAUAAGGUUGUUGUUUUUUGAGAGAGACGGAAAAAUGUGAGAGAUACAUAAAAAUUUAAAGAGCCUUCGGCUCUGUUGUGGUCAACAAUUUUGAACUGCUUUGUGUUUGACGAAGUUCAAUAUUACAAUAUACGAAGUUGCAACGAAUGUGACUGUCAUAUUCCCCCUCCUCCUCUUUAUCGAAUCUCUUUCUGUGGUCUGAAUAUGUGUAAGAAAGAUCAAAUAGACAAUCACUUCUUUAGUUGGUGUUGAAUAGUGCAAGGGAGUAGUGCACGUGCUCGUGGGAAUAGUGCUUGGUAUAAAGUCGGUGUUUGGCGUUUUGUAGUUUUUUUCACAAUGGCUGAGGAAUAUAAUUUAAAAUCACUCGGUAAGGCGUUAAAAAAUAAAAUUUAUAUUAAACAUAUAUCUUUCUUUACCAGCCCUCCCUUAAAUAUACAUACAAUUUGUAAUGGAAAUACAUAUUUUAGAAAUAUGCGGUAUUAAUAAAUAAAUAAUAAAUAAACUUGUAAAAAUUA